AAUAGGCAGUGAAGAACAAAUUCUUUUAGUCAUUAACCAAUAACCAUAUAGUCUGAGUGAUAUUGUCAAGCCUUGAUGGGUCUGAAUUCCCAUAAGUGCCAAACUGUAGCCGAUGUCCAUAAGAAAAUAAUGACGCCCAUCAGUUACCCCCUUGUUUUAGUGCUAAGUUGCUAACAUCGCUGCUUGGACAUUCAACCAACAGAAGACUGUCCUUGUGAAAAAUUUAAGAGCUGUGGUUAUACUAACGAGUUCGGCAAGAAUGUGGGACCUUCAAGGAUGUUGAUAGAAUCUCCCUCGGAUUUUUUUUUUUCCAAGUGAAUUCCAACAUGUCUUCUAGAAGGCAAUAGUGGUUACCAACGUCAGUUUUAUUGCCGUUCACCGUUUAGUCCAUAUAUACGUAUUACUCCCGUAAGGGGGAAAAAGAAUGAAAAGCAGCAUUUCAUUGCGUAAUUGGACAUUUUCCGUUGUGUGGGGAAACGAGUGAAACCUGUUAAAUAUCUUGUCUUGCUAUAUUACACAGAUUUUUAGACUAUAAAAACCCUAACUCUUCACUUAAGUCCCAAAUCUGGGGAAAUUAAUACAAAUGUCGGAAUUCGGGCAAAUCGGCAAAUGUCGAGUGCGCCAAGGAAAGUGCAGUUAAUGCAGUUUAGUGUUGGAUUCGUGUCAGUUAAGUUCUCUCGACUUUUGUGAAGUUCAAAAGUCAUAAAAAUCACGUUUAAAGUUUUCACUUUGUAUUGAGUAAUUGGUAAUAAAUAAAUGUCAGAGGAAUAAUCGUCAUCACAAGUCGGUUGGGUUAAGAUUCAAUAGAUUAUGCAGCAUGCUAUAGACUGAAUCCUGACGCAAUUGGCGGAAUUCCUGUGUUGUUCUCUGCAGAUUAAGAUAAGUUUCAGUGAUCGUCACUGCUUGGGGACCCAUAAGCAGUCAUGUUCGUGAAGUUCGGUUUAAUUAUAAAAUCAUUUCCUCUACGUGGUCGCUUCACUUUGCAUGGCGGGAGGUGUCAGGCUUCAAAUUCUUCAAAUUCUGACUGUGAUGGAAUGGGGAACUUAAGGAAACCUUCGAACGCUUAGAGGAAUUGAUCAGUGGGCUCCGAGCUGUGAUAAAUGGUACACCACGUCUGUGAUGCAUUGGCUGCCCGACGCUAAGAAUCAUAGAUGGUGCCAACCUAGACCAGAGAGUUUGGGAUAUUUUUUUGUAUUUUUUUCUUUUUUGUGCAUUUUGUUUUGUCUUCGUGAUUCAUGGU